rnacentral:rRNA from 1 species
UACGUAGGGGGCAAGCGUUGUCCGGAAUCAUUGGGCGUAAAGAGCGUGUAGGCGGCUCGGUAAGUCCGCUGUGAAAGUCCAGGGCUCAACCCUGGAAUGCCGGUGGAAACUGUCGAGCUAGAGUCCGGAAGAGGCGAGUGGAAUUCCUGGUGUAGCGGUGAAAUGCGCAGAUAUCAGGAGGAACACCAAUGGCGAAGGCAGCUCGCUGGGACGGUACUGACACUGAGACGCGAAAGCGUGGGGAGCAAACAGG